rnacentral:rRNA from 1 species
GCAUCCUACGGGGCGCAGCAGUAGGGAAUCUUCCACAAUGGACGAAAGUCUGAUGGAGCAACGCCGCGUGAGUGAAGAAGGGUUUCGGCUCGUAAAGCUCUGUUGGGAGUGAAGAAAGAUAGAGGUAGUAACUGGCCUUUAUUUGACGGUAAUUACUUAGAAAGUCACGGCUAACUACGUGCCAGCAGCCGCGGUAAUACGUAGGUGGCAAGCGUUGUUCGGAUUUAUUGGGCGUAAAGCGUCCG